CGGUACUACGGAGGGGGUUAGCGUUGUUCGGAAUUACUGGGCGUAAAGCGCGCGUAGGCGGAUUAGAAAGUUGGGGGUGAAAUCCCGGGGCUCAACCCCGGAACUGCCUCCAAAACUGCUAGUCUAGAGUUCGAGAGAGGGGAGUGGAAUUCCAGGUGUAGCGGUGAAAUGCGUAGAUAUCGGGAAGAACACCAGUGGCGAAGGCGCUCUGCUGGGCCAUCACUGACGCUCAUGGACGAAAGCCAGGGGAGCGAAAGGGAUUAGAUACCCCUGUAGUCCUGGCCGUAAACGAUGAACACUAGGUGUCGGGGGAAUCGACCCCCUCGGUGUCGUAGCCAACGCGUUAAGUGUUCCGCCUGGGGAGUACGCACGCAAGUGUGAAACUCAAAGGAAUUGACGGGGGCCCGCACAAGCGGUGGAGUAUGUGGUUUAAUUCGAAGCAACGCGCAGAACCUUACCAACCCUUGACAUCCUGUGCUAUAUUUAGAGAUAGAUAGUUCCCUUCGGGGACGCAGUGACAGGUGCUGCAUGGCU
rnacentral:rRNA from 1 species